ensembl:lncRNA
CACGCAGUGCACUCGUUACAAAGUGAUAGCUUGCUGUGUGUGUUGGCAGUCAAUGUUAAUAUUUUAUCUCUGUUAGCUCAUUGCACAUUUUAUUGUGUUGCACAUUUUCUUCUGUUCCACUGAAUGCUGUUUUGAUGAGUAACUAAAUUUGUUUUCAGAAUGUAGUUGGGACAGAGCCCAGCAGGCUACACAACAACACAGCUGGAAAACUACCGUUUCUCAAAACGUAUACAAAUAACUUUUAAAAAAUUGGACUGCUAAAUGGAACUUAACUGGCUAAUUUUAGCUAGCUAACAUUAACGUAGCUCUCUGGCUAUUCCUCCAUGGACAUGGAAUCUUCUAGCUUGGAUGGAAGGAUAGAGAAGUGAACAAAGGGAAUGAGUACAGAAGUUAUCCAGCAUGCUGACUAAGACAUUUAAAUAGCCUAUGUUUUGCUAUCUAUCUAUCUCUUUCUCUAUCUCUCUCCGUCUAUCUACUUGACUGCCAGAUUGCUGAGGGUCAACAUAGUCAAUGUACUUGCUAGGCUAAGUCUAAUUUAGUGAAGACCUUAGGUAAUGGUUAUUCGGGAUUCUUCUGUCUUUACAGUUCCUGAAACAUGUCAAUGACCUGAUGCAUGGCUUCUACAGCAGUGCUUGGCCACCCACUCAGUUACCAUUAACCUAUUCUGCCACAUCUCAGGGAAAGGAGACAGCAGAACCACCCCUCCCUAAAUCCAUAGUCAUUGAAAGAGGGUUGCGUCUCUUGAGUGGAUUCAGUCACUGACGUGAUCUUCCUGUCUGGGUUGGCGGCCCCCCUUGGGUUGUGCCAUGGUGGAGAUCUUUGUGGGCUACACGGGGCCUUGUCUCAGGAUGGUAAGUUGGUGGUUGAAGAUAUCCCUUUAGUGGUGUGGGGGCUAUGCUUUGGCAAAGUGGAUGGGGUUAUAUCCUGCCUGUUUGGCCCUGUCCGGAGGUAUCGUCGGAUGGGGCCACAGUGUCUCCCGACCCCUCCUGUCUCAGCCUCCAGUAUUUAUGCUGCAAUAGUUUGUGUCGGGGGGCUA